rnacentral:rRNA from 1 species
UACAUGGGGUGCAAACGUUGCUCGGAAUUAUUGGGCGUAAAGCGCACGUAGGCGGUUCGUUAAGUCAGAUGUGAAAGCCCCCGGCUCAACUGGGGAGGGUCACGCGAUACUGAUCGACUCGAAGGCAGGAGAGGGUAGUGGAAUUCCCGGUGUAGUGGUGAAAUGCGUAGAUAUCGGGAGGAACACCAGUGGCGAAGGCGACUACCUGGCCUGUUCUUGACGCUGAGGCGCGAAAGCUAGGGGAGCAAACGGG